rnacentral:rRNA from 1 species
GACGUAGGGGGCAAGCGUUGUUCGGAAUUAUUGGGCGUAAAGCGCUCGUAGGCGGGACAGGAAGUUCGUGUUGAAAGACCUCGGCUCAACUGAGGGACCGGCUCGAAUACUCUUGUUCUUGAGGCAAUCAGAGGGUGAUGGAAUUCCCGGUGUAGCGGUGAAAUGCGUAGAUAUCGGAAGGAACACCAGUGGCGAAAGCGGCUUCCUGGUCCGACACCGACGUUCAGGCACGAAAGCGUGGGGAGCAAACAGG